GGGUCAGUAGGUUGGUCGUGCCACCGGUACGUACUGGUCUCACUGAUUCCUCCUCCCUGAAGAACCGUAAUGCCAUUAAUUUGGUGUUGCGGGGAAACAGGACUGUUACUUUGAAAAAAUUAUAGUGUUUAAAGCAAGCUAACGCUUGAAUACAUUAGCAUGGAAUAAUGAAAUAGGACGAUCGAUCCUAUUUUGUUGGUUUCUAGGAUUGACGUA
rnacentral:rRNA from 1 species